AGACGCGUGAGUAAUCUGCCCUCCGGUGGGGUAUAACCUCGGGAAACUGAGGAUAAUCCCGCAUACGACCUGCAUCCCGUGGGAUGCAGAUGAAAGGCUUUGGUCGCCGGAGGAGGAGCUCGCGUCCUAUCAGGUUGUUGGUGGGGUAAUGGCCCACCAAGCCGAUGACGGGUAGCUGGUCUGAGAGGAUGACCAGCCAGAGGGGGACUGAGAACGGCCCCCACUCCUACGGGAGGCAGCAGGCAGGGAAUCUUGGGCAAUGGGCGAAAGCCUGACCCAGCGACGUCGCGUGGGGGACGAAGGCCUUAGGGUUGUAAACCCCUUUUCCGAGGGAAGAUACAGGACGGUACCUCGGGAAUAAGCCCCGGCUAACUACGUGCCAGCAGCCGCGGGUAAUACGUAGGGGGCAAGCGUUACCCGGAAUCACUGGGCGUAAAGUGCGCGUAGGCGGUUGGAUAAUUCUCUUGUGAAAUCCUCUGGCUCAAACCAAGAGAACUGCAGCCGAAACUGCACACCCUUGAGUCCAGGCAGAGGAAUCGGAAUCCCAGGUGUAGCGGUGAAAUGCGUAGAUAUCUGGGAGAACAUCAAUGGGCGAAGGCGGAUUCCUGGGCUGGGUA
rnacentral:rRNA from 1 species